GGAAUAUUGGGCAAUGGAGGAAACUCUGACCCAGCGACGCCGCGUGAGGGAUGAAGGCCUUCGGGUUGUAAACCUCUUUCAGUAGGGAAGAAGCGAAAGUGACGGUACCUACAGAAGAAGCACCGGCUAACUAUGUGCCAGCAGCCGCGGUAAUACAUAGGGUGCAAGCGUUGUCCGGAAUUAUUGGGCGUAAAGAGCUCGUAGGUGGUUCGAUACGUCGGAUGUGAAAAUCAGGGGCUCAACCCCUGACCUGCAUCCGAUACGGUCGAGCUAGAGAUUGGUAGGGGAGACUGGAAUUCCUGGUGUAGCGGUGGAAUGCGCAGACAUCAGGAGGAACACCGAUGGCGAAGGCAGGUCUCUGGGCCAAUACUGACACUGAGGAGCGAAAGCGUGGGGAGCGAACAGGAUUAGAUACCCUGGUAGUCCACGCCGUAAACGGUGGGCGCUAGUUGUGCGAACCUUCCACGGUUUGUGCGACGCAGCUAACGCAUUAAGCGCCCCGCCUGGGGAGUACGAUCGCAAGAUUAAAACUCAAAGGAAUUGACGG
rnacentral:rRNA from 1 species